AAGCUUUAGUGACUUUGGUCGCACUGAAGAUGUGAUCUUCGUACACGGAAGUUCUGGUGCAGUCACCAUAGGACUUGUGUCCUGUUCCUCUGGGACGGUGCCAUGACAAUGCAAGGAUCUAAGCCAGCACUUGGGGUGGGAGCAGCAGGGAGCUGGGGAGGCAUUGCCUCGCACUGCAGCAGUAACAUAGAAGGUCUGUGAAUCAAGCCCUGCCUUGUUGAACUGCCAUUGGGACAAUCUUUAUGAUACUAUAUAAUGUGAUCCUGCCUGAAGAUGGGCCUUGAAAAGCACUUCCUGUUAUGCCUGUGCUGAUACUGGGAUUCACAGCCUUGCACUUGGGUGACUGGCAUUGCAUCGGUUAAAAGAAUGAGAAACUCAUUACCCAUAAUAUGUUGUUUAUUCUGGUGUUAAGCUUCCCUCAGAAGUUUGCCUGUAACUGUGCCAUGUUAGCACAGGGGCCUCAAGUCCGUGGACAUCUUCAAACAGAGAAACAAAAGCAACGAUGGGCUCACAGUGUCUUCACUUGACUAAGCAGCAUGAAAGGCUUGGGAAUACCCUGGGGACAUCUGCCAGUGCCUGCUGGCUUGGAGCUGAGCUGUCAGUGAGCAGAGCGUGUGUAGUCCUGGAGCUGUGAAUGGGGAAGGUUCCCUUCCUUUUCUUGUGUCAGCUUUUAAUGUAUUUUGCUUGUAACACUUUAAUUUCAGCAUGUCACAAAAGCUUAGGUUGAUGGGAAUGUGUUGAGGUGGGAAACCUUUCUCCAAAAGGAGUUGCUUUGCAGUUCCUGACUGCCCUUCUGUCCAGCCUUACCUCAUCUUGUAUUGCAGCACAAGGGGAGAAAUCUAUCAGCUGAGCUAGCCUGGGGAGUAGAACAGGUGGAUCUGCAGAGAGCAGAGCAUGUUGUAUCCCAGUGACCAUGGUGGAAGAGCCUUGCUACCAUGCCUGGGCUCCUGCCUCUUUUAUGAGUAUGGUGAUGGGCGGCCCUGACAAAUGCGGAUGGCUGUGCUGGCAUCUGCGGGGGGAUUUAAGGAGGUAAUAUUGCCUACUGAAGUGGAAGAAAGCAUUUAUUUGUGGUGUGAUCUGCCUCCAGUGCUGAUGGCAUGCAUCUUGAGGCUUGACAAAUGCAGCUUUCAGGCUACUUCUCACUUAUAUUCUUGGAUUCCUUCUCCCUACUACUCCCUGGUAUUUAUGGGAUCCUGCCAUGUAUUUUCUCUUCCAGUUGUCAAGCUCCAUGCAUCCUGUUCAUCCUACUGUUGUUAGGGGAAUACCUGCUGUUGCAGCACUGAUCUCUCAUGUUGCACCAGUUCUGUUCAGUGAUGAAGCUGUUGUCUCUGCUUAGGGGGUAUUUUUUUCUGCUUCCACAUUCAUUUGCGCUUGUUUAGUGCUGGACUGAACACACUAAGUGAUUUGUAGCCCGGGCCGUUUGUUUAUGUGGCAGUUAUGAGGUCUGAUGUAGUUUUCACAGUUAUGAGUGUGGUUUUUUUGAAGCCCAGAGCAAGCUUUCUUUCAGAUUGAAUGAAAAAUGGACGUGUUACAGCUUCUUCAUCUGCACGCUUCUCCAGGUCUUUUGAGCAGGCCAAGGGAUCUUCUAAGGGAUUCUAUGACUUAUCCUCUUGGUUAAAAAAGUACAUAAAACAAAGAAGCAAAAAGCAUUUCAUCAUGGGAGCAGCCUGAAUCUUAGCAGGUGUCCUUGUGCUAGCAAUGUCAGUUGUCACUUCCAGUCUGCUGCUGCUUCAGGUCACUGUUGUGCAUGGAAACAUCAAUGGAGCAAUCAAACCAAAACUUUUUGAAGCUUAUGCUUGAACUUUUUGUUAUGGAUGGACUCUGUCUCCAUUGGAAAAUGAGAGAGAGCAGGACUGGGCUGUUCUGGCUGGGUGUGCUGCUUGGAGCAGAUCAGCAUAGCAUGAAGUACUGCCUGUGAAGGCCAAGGCUGUGGCUGUUGCAUCUUGGUGGCAGAGCUUAAUUAUCUUCAGCAUCCAAAUCUUCCCAGAAGACUAUGAUGCGUAUGACAAUGGGAUGAUUAGCUAUUCUGUGAGGAACCAAGGUUAAUCCAUAGAGACCAUAUGCUCACACAUGGCAAUGUAUUAUUUGUCACGUUCACUGCACCCACUCUUCUGUGAUCUCCUGUUCUUCAUCUGUCUCCCCCCAUGCACACUGGGGAUAGAUGGCUUUCUGGAAGUCCACAUGGUAAACUACCCCUGCCUCCCCUCCAAUGGAUGCUGUGGGGAAAAUAAAAAUAAAAGCUCAGCACCUACUGUUUGCUUCCCCCAGUUUUUAGGUAUUUGAUUCAGUUGCUCCGAAGUGUAAUAAGAUUAUUUGGAUCCUGUUUUACGAUGUCUUUAACUUUGCUGACUGCAAAUGGCCCAUCGUGAAUACCUGAGCUGAAGCUCACUUUGAUGGGAUUGAAGACAGAAAGUGAAGAGGCAGCUGAAAGUUAUGAGUUUACUGGAGUUUUUGGCAGUUCAGAGAAAAACUCUCUGCAAAUGUGGAAGGACUAGAGUAUAACACUACAGUUGCUGCUGCCUGCCUCAGACCCAAAGGUUUUUUUGAGUUUUAAUUUGAUUCUUUCUUUAUUUUUUUCCAUGUCUUGAAUUUAAAGCAAAUAC
rnacentral:lncRNA from 7 species